AGCAAACAGUGAAGAUUGUGCAGUUCUAUGCUUGUAUUGGGACGGCUGCAUCAAAGACAAGCACGUGUUACCGUCGACCCACCACCUCCCCACCCACCGCCACCAGCUGAAGUCCCGUAAUCAGAACCUCUCACUCUCAGCGGGAUGGGGGGUUUCCAUGCCAGCUGCCCACCAAAGGGCUACUUGCCAAGCCAGCAUCUGGCUCUGGGGGUAACCCUUCACAGACGAGGCCAUCUGCUAAACUACUUUAAUACUUUCAUAUUCACGUGUUGUCUCUGUUGUUUAUUCAGUUAAGCCUUUUACCUGACUGGACUGAUUUAACAUUGGUCUCUUACCUGGUCAUGGUGAAC
ensembl:lncRNA